rnacentral:rRNA from 1 species
UACGUAGGCAGCAAGCGUUGUUCGGAGUUACUGGGCGUAAAGGGUGCGUAGGCGGCUUUUUAAGUUUGGUGUGAAAUCUCCCGGCUCAACUGGGAGGGUGCGCCGAAUACUGAGAGGCUAGAGUGUGGGAGAGGAAAGUGGAAUUCCUGGUGUAGCGGUGAAAUGCGUAGAUAUCAGGAGGAACACCGGUGGUGUAAACGGCUUUCUGGACCAUAACUGACGCUA